rnacentral:misc_RNA from 1 species
GUAAAAUAUGAUAUUAAGAAAAAAAAUGAUGUUUAUUAUUUUUACUAAAAUUCCGAUGAAACUUUUAACCUGAUUGCUUGAAAAAAUUAUUAAAAAAUAUGUUAAAAAUUCAAUGUAUUUUCAUUUUAUCAAAAAAAUAGUUGAUAAUAAAAAAAAAACGAUAAAGGGUUUUAUCGAUGACAUGAAUUCCUCUCGGCGCUCUGAAUUCAAACAGGAUAGUCAAACAAUUCAACGAAAAAUAAUGCAAGAAUCAACAUCAGAAUCUUCAGAUUCAACACAAGUUGAUAAUAAAAAAUCAAAAAAUCAUGUUAAAUUGAAAAAAAAUUUGUCGAUGCAGUCAAGUUUAAAUUCUACAUCUAAAUUGGAAGAUCCAAUGAUGUCAUGCUGGAUGGCAGAAGUUGAAGAACCCACAUCGAUUCGAAACAGCUUCAAGUCCCAUGAGAGCAGUACUGUAGUAUCACCGACACCCAUAGAGAGUUGUUUCAACUGUCCAAAGGAUACGCCCAGCCUUGUGGAUGAAUCUGUUCACUCUACUGUAAUUGGAUCCGAUGAUUUAACCAAGAAAGAACGGAACAGAAAGGAAUUCUAUUACACAGUUAAAGCUAAAGUGGAAAAAGCUGUCAAUGAACAUAAAAUCUUUCUGAUCCGUGGAGAAUUACCAAUGUUAAUAAAAGCCUUAGAGGAUAGAGGAUGGAUACAAAAAUAUGAAUCAGUUAAAACUAGAAUGAAACCAUAUAAUAGUACUGUAAAUACAAAUGAAAUAUCAUUUGAUGAUAUAAAAUUAGAUGACUAUGAUUUUAAUGAAAAAACAUUGAUAUAUUCAUUUUUAAGUAAAAUACCACCUGAUUUUAUUUGGGAUUGUCGUAAUGAUUUUGUCGAGUGGGAUUUGUCAAUUGAAAAUCAUGUGUUUUUAAAUAGAUUCCAGAGACCUUCUGUAUAUACAUCAAAACUGGGAAUGGCACAAGUACUUGAAGAUGCAAAAUGGCACUAUGAGGAAAAUGUAUCAAGUGUAAUAUUUCCAAGAAGUUACAAUCCAAGUCGUGAUGUUAAAGAUUUUUUAGAUGAUUUUCGUCGUACAGCUGCUGUUGGUCUUUUAAAGUGGUUCCUUAAUUCAUUUCGAGAAGCCGAUGUGAAACAUAGAAACCUGCCAAUUUCAGUUAGCUGUUUAGAAUUUGCUGUAAAACGAUGUGAGGAAUACUUGGAUGAUGAUGAUGAUAUACAAGACAAUGUAGAUGAAACUGAUAUCAACAAGGUUACUGAAGAUGAGUGGAAAAUUUUCCUCGAGAAUUAUUCGCAGGCAGUACAUCAUGGUAGUGAUUCUGUCAAUGAUGAAGAAAAUAAGCAAGCAAGACUCGAGAAAUGUUAUUUAUCUACAUGUAAAAUACUGGAAAAAAUGCAAAAUAUUGAUCCACAAUAUGAAAUUAAUGGAACUAAAAAUAUAUGGAUAUUAAAACCGAGUAAUCUUUGUUGUGGUAAUGGUAUUAUUAUGUCUCAUUGUAUUGAUGAUAUUUUACGUAGAGUUAAUGCUAAACCAAAAAAUUAUUAUGCUGUACAAAAAUAUAUUGAAAAACCACUUUUGAUCCGUGGUACAAAGUUUGACAUCAGAGUGUGGUAUCUUGUGACCUGUACAUUUCCUUUGACAAUUUGGAUUUUUGAAGAAGCGCUAUUACGAUUCAGCUCGCAGACCUAUAACAUUUCAAGCUACCAUGAGGCGAUUCAUCUUUGUAAUACUGCCAUUCAGCAAAAAUACGACUAUGAAAAACGACGAAGAAGAAGACGGGGUUAUACUGAUGAAACGACGGAAUCAAUUCGUGAUCAAGGAUGGGAUUGCACAAUGCUGAACGAAUAUUUAAAAAAUAUUGGAUACGAGGGUGAACCUUAUUACGAUGAAGUUUAUCAAAAAAUGACAGAAUCAAUUAUUUUGAUGAUGUUGGCAUCACAAGAACACAUGGACCGCAGAAAAUAUACUUUUGAACUUUAUGGUGCUGAUUUUAUGGUGAUGGAUGAUCUUUCAGUUUGGCUUAUUGAAAUCAAUACCAAUCCGCGAAUGCAUCCACCAAGUUCAAAAAUCACUCAACGAUUGUACGACAACGUACUCGAGAGUCUGGUUAAAGUGUUAAUGGAUUUACCAAAUAAUCCAAAUGCUGAUACUGGUGGUUUUCGACAAGUUUACAAGCAACAUGUUUCGGAUUUUGAACCGUAUCUUGGUCCAGGACUCAUUGUCAUGGGAAAACGUAUGACACUUCAUGAGCAUCAGACAGAUGAUAAUGAAAAUACAAGUAAAAUAAAUAUUUGUAGUACAUCAACCAGACAGAAUCGUGCUCAAACCGCACCACCCACAAUUGCACGACGACUGAGAGAUUCAAAGAUUGUUGAUUUUGUUGACUGUUUGGAUGAAGGAAAAAUAGAUAAAUGAGAAAAUUUUGAAGAUAAAAAUUGCAAAAAUAUUUCUACGAAAGAAAGGAAAAAAAAUUGAAAAUUUCGAAGUCAUUUAAUUCUUUAACAGCGUGAUAAAAGUGUUGUAAAAAAAGAGACCAUCACGUUUGCUCAUAUCAUAAUCACUGCCGGCUGAUUCUGAAAAUUGUACUUUAUCUGCAGACUUGGCAUUACUUGAAGCACACGGAUUGCAGAAUAACCAAGUUGUGAAACAACAUAGCCAAUUUCAUCAUAAGUUUUUUGCGUAAAACUUGGACUAUACAUUUAAG